AUGAUAUUAUACUACUUAGAUAGUCCUAUCUAGCCAUUUUUAGCUCCCGGUUUUUUAGGACUAUCCAGUUCUCAUGAAAAAAA
rnacentral:sRNA from 10 species